UGGGGAAUAUUGCACAAUGGGGGAAACCCUGAUGCAGCGACGCCGCGUGAACGAAGAAGGUAUUCGUAUCGUAAAGUUUUGUCCUAUGGGAAGAUAAUGACAGUACCAUAGAAGAAAGCUCCGGCUAAAUACGUGCCAGCAGCCGCGGUAAUACGUAUGGAGCGAGCGUUGUCCGGAAUUAUUGGGCGUAAAGGGUACGCAGGCGGUUUAAUAAGUCGAAUGUUAAAGAUCGGGGCUCAGCCCCGUAAAGCAUUGGAAACUGAUAAACUUGAGUAGUGGAGAGGAAAGUGGAAUUCCUAGUGUAGUGGUGAAAUACGUAGAUAUUAGGAGGAAUACCAGUAGCGAAGGCGACUUUCUGGACACAAACUGACGCUGAGGUACGAAAGCGUGGGGAGCAAACAGG
rnacentral:rRNA from 1 species